CAGUAGCCGCGGUAACACCGGCAGCCCGAGUGAUGGCCGCUAUUAUUGGGCCUAAAGCGUCCGUAGCCGGCCAGACAAGUCCGUUGGGAAAUCCACGCGCUCAACGUGUGGACGUCCGGCGGAAACUGUCUGGCUUGGGGCCGGAAGAUCUGAGGGGUACGUCCGGGGUAGGAGUGAAAUCCCGUAAUUCUGGACGGACCGCCGGUGGCGAAAGCGCCUCAGAAAGACGGACCCGACGGUGAGGGACGAAAGCUAGGGUCUCGAACCGAAUUAGAUACCCGGGUAGUCCCUGUCUCUUAUU
rnacentral:rRNA from 1 species